AAUCGAACCCGGAGAUAGCUGGUUCUCCCCGAAAUAGCUUUAGGGCUAGCGUCGGAAAGAACCUUAGUGAAGGUAGAGCACUGAAUGUGUGAUGGCCCCAUCCCGGGGUACUGAAUACAAUCAAACUGCGAAUGUCAUUAAGGAUGUCCGGCAGUCAGACUGUGAGUGAUAAGGUCCAUGGUCAAGAGGGAAACAGCCCAGACCGCCAGUUAAGGUCCCAAAAUACAGGCUAAGUGGAAAAGGAUGUGGGGAUGCCCAGACAACUAGGAGGUUGGCUCAGAAGCAGCCAUCCUUUAAAGAGUGCGUAACAGCUCACUAGUCGAGUGACCCUGCGCCGAAAAUGUACCGGGGCUAAGCCUGAUACCGAAACUGCGGAUUGUAGGAAACUAUAGUGGUAGGGGAGCGUUGUAUACGAGUAGAAGCCGUACCGUGAGGAGCGGUGGAUUGUAUAGAAGUGAGAAUGCCGGUGUGAGUAGCGAGAUGUAGGUGAGAAUCCUACACACCGAAAGCCCAAGGAUUCCAGGGGAAGGUUCGUCCGCCCUGGGUAAGUCGGGACCUAACGCGAGGCCGAAAGGCGUAGUGGAUGGAAAGCAGGCGAAAGAUUCCUGCACCCGUAUAUGGAGCGAAGGAGUGACGGAGACGGAUAGUGUGACCCUCUUAAUGGAUUGAGGGCGAAGCGAAGCGGCAGGUUACCAGGCAAAUCCGGUAACCAAAAGGCUAGAGCGUGACAGGUAAGCGAAAUCUUCGGAAAGUAGCGAAGCACAUGAUGACGGCUUCCAGGAAAAGCUUCUGGCAAUGCAUAUGCGGCCCGUACCAAAACCGACACAGGUGGGCAGGGAGAGAAUCCCGAGGUGAGCGAGAGAACUGUUGCCAAGGAACUCGGCAAAAUGACUCCGUAAGUUAGCGAGAAGGAGUGCUUAAGCAAUUAAGCCGCAGUGAAGAGGCCCAAGCGACUGUUUAACUAAAACACAGCUCUCUGCGAAGUCGCAAGACGAAGUAUAGGGGGUGACACCUGCCCGGUGCUGGAAGGUUAAGAGGAUCUGUUAAGAGCGAUCUGAAGCAGUGAUCCGAAGCCCCAGUGAACGGCGGCCGUAACUAUAACGGUCCUAAGGUAGCGAAAUUCCUUGUCAGGUAAGUUCUGACCCGCACGAAAGGUGUAACGAUUUGGGCGCUGUCUCGGCAGCAGACUCGGUGAAAUCUUAGUACCUGUGAAAAUGCAGGUUACCCGCAACUAGACGGAAAGACCCCAUGGAGCUUUACUGCAGCCUGAUAUUGAAUUCUGGUCAUACAUGUACAGGAUAGGUGGGAGACAAAGAGACGUGCACGCCAGUGUACGAGGAGUCGCCGUUGGGAUACCACUCUUGUGUGACCGGGGUUCUAACCUGGUAUCGAGAACAGGUACGGGGAGAGUGUCAGGUGGGCAGUUUGACUGGGGCGGUCGCCUCCCAAAGAGUAACGGAGGCGCCCAAAGGUACGCUCAGAUUGGAUGGAAACCAAUCGGCGAGUGCAAUUGCAGAAGCGUGCUUGACUGUGAGACUUACAAGUCGAACAGGGACGAAAGUCGGGAAUAGUGAUCCGGCGGUGCCGAAUGGAAGGGCCGUCGCUCAACGGAUAAAAGCUACCCUGGGGAUAACAGGCUGAUCUCCCCCAAGAGUCCACAUCGACGGGGAGGUUUGGCACCUCGAUGUCGGCUCAUCACAUCCUGGGGCUGUAUUCGGUCCCAAGGGUUCGGCUGUUCGCCGAUUAAAGUGGCACGCGAGCUGGGUUCAGAACGUCGUGAGACAGUUCGGUCCCUAUCUGUUGUGGGCGAAGGAGAUCUGCGGAGAGCUGUCCUCAGUACGAGAGGACCGGGAUGGACCUACCGCUGGUGCACCGGUUGUUCCGCCAGGGGCAUAGCCGGGUAGCUAAGUAGGGAAAGGAUAAGCGCUGAAAGCAUCUAAGCACGAAGCCUACUCCAAGAUGAGAUCUCCCAUUCGCAAGAAGUAAGACCCCUUAAAGACGAUAAGGUAGAUAGGCCAGGGAUGGAAGUGCAGUGAUGUACGGAGUUGACUGGUACUAAUCGGUCGAGGACUUAAUC
rnacentral:rRNA from 1 species